rnacentral:rRNA from 1 species
UACGAAGGGGGCUAGCGUUGCUCGGAAUUACUGGGCGUAAAGCGCGCGUAGGCGGUUUGUUAAGUCAGCUGUGAAAGCCCCGGGCUCAACCUGGGAACUGCAGUUGAUACUGUCCGACUAGAGUACGAGAGAGGGAGGUAGAAUUCCAUGUGUAGCGGUGAAAUGCGUAGAUAUAUGGAGGAAUACCAGUGGCGAAGGCGGCCUCCUGGCUCGAUACUGACGCUGAGGUGCGAAAGCGUGGGGAUCAAACAGG